rnacentral:rRNA from 1 species
CCCUUAGAUGUUCUGGGCCGCACGCGCGCUACACUGAUGCAUUCAACGAGUUUCUUCCUGGUCCGAGAGGAAUGGGUAACCUUUUGAAAGUGCAUCGUGAUAGGGAUAGACUAUUGCAAUUAUUGGUCUUCAACGAGGAAUUCCUAGUAGUCGUAGUUCAUCAGACUGCAUCGAUUACGUCCCUGCCCUUUGUACACACCGCCCGUCGCUCCUACCGAUUGAAUGCUCAGGUGAGCCAUUCGGACUUUCAUCAUGCUGGUUUCCAGUUUUGAUGAAGGAAAGUCUUGCGAACCUUAUCAUUUAGAGGAAGGAGAAGUCGUAACA